AUGGCCGGGCCCGCUCCAGACCCUGGCAGUCCACAAGCUCCCAGUCGCCUGCCGUGGUCCCUCCCCGACAGGUUCUUAUUGUACCGCGCAGUGGUCGCGCACCGACUAGCUGUGCUUUUAAAGAUGAUUAUCACUAUGGCGGUGAGACAGUAGUUUGGCCGAGACCUGUUCCAGUACCCGAGCCAAAAAGGGUGAAGUAGAUCCAGGACCGUCACUGGAAGCCACUUCGAGAGAGAGGCCAUGCUUCUUAAAGUAUGGGUUUCACAGCCGCCAGUUUUUUGGAGGUCUAUAGUCACAUGUUAUUCACAAUCUUAUUUUUAUUACAGUCGGUUAAAAAGGAUUUCAUCCAUUGCUAGAACACUGCAAUCCUCAGCUUCGGGGGUAACCAGAAGGCUCUCUGCGCCCGCUGCUGGGAGGUGGCGGGGC
rnacentral:lncRNA from 1 species